rnacentral:rRNA from 1 species
AUUGAACGCUGGCGGCAUGCUUUACACACGCAAGUCGAACGGUAACAGGCCGCAAGGUGCUGACGAGUGGCGAACGGGUGAGUAAUGCAUCGGAACGUGCCCAGUCGUGGGGGAUAACGCAGCGAAAGCUGCGCUAAUACCGCAUACGAUCUAUGGAUGAAAGCGGGGGACCGUAAGGCCUCGCGCGAUUGGAGCGGCCGAUGCCAGAUUAGGUAGUUGGUGGGGUAAAGGCUCACCAAGCCAACGAUCUGUAGCUGGUCUGAGAGGACGACCAGCCACACCGGGACUGAGACACGGCCCGGACUCCUACGGGAGGCAGCAGUGGGGAAUUUUGGACAAUGGGCGCAAGCCUGAUCCAGCAAUGCCGCGUGCAGGAAGAAGGCCUUCGGGUUGUAAACUGCUUUUGUACGGAACGAAACGGUCCUGGUUAAUACCUGGGGCUAAUGACGGUACCGUAAGAAUAAGCACCGGCUAACUACGUGCCAGCCGCCGCCGUAAGAC